rnacentral:rRNA from 1 species
GAGCACGUAGGUGGGUUUGUAAGUCAGAUGUGAAAGCCUUCUGUUCAAAGGAAGAACGGCAUCUGAAACUGCAGAUCUUGAGUGUAGGAGGGGAGAGUGGAACUUCUGGUGGAGCGGUGAAAUGCGUAGAUAUCAGAAGGAACGUCGGCGGCGAAAGCGACCCUCUGGCCUAUUACUGACACUGAGUGUGCGAAAGUUAGGGGAGCAAACGGGAUUAGAUACCCCGGUAGUCCUAACUGUAAACGAUGGGCACUAAGUAGAGGG